CUAUGGGCGUGUUGGAGGAGAGGCUUUUUGGGGGAGUUUCUCGGCGCGCCAACGCAGUCGCAGCCUUGUUCUGAGGUUGUUCAGUCUUUGAUCAACUUUUCUAAUUUCUACUGACCGUGUCUGGGAGAUUGGCUCGUCUGAACAGUUUCAUGAAGUGUUGGAAGCCGUCCUCUCCGAAGAAGUCGAAGGAGCCCUGGGAGGUGCUCAGGUG